UACAUAAAUAUUCUCACUACCACAAUUCCCCAACCCAUACUCUUACAGCAACAAACAUACACCUUCAACAUACAAUAUUCUCCCACAUCAUCUCCCUUUUGCCUGCGAAGAUCCCCCAAAAUUCGGUAAAAUUUGUGUUCAUCCAUCUCCUUCAAUCAGUCUAGGAGUAGUCCACAUGGACUCCUCCCUUCAUCCUUGCAUUUUGAAUUAGGUCAAUCCCAACUUCCGAGUCUACCUCGUCAAGAUGAAAUGGAAGCUAAAAUACUGGUUCAAAGGAAGCUCGAUUACACGGCUU